rnacentral:misc_RNA from 1 species
CGCCUCCGCCUCCGCCUCCGCCUCUGACUCCUCCCUUCUCCUACACCUUAGUAUUGAGCAACUCCGCCGAAUGCUGUGGGUGUGUGUGUCAGGGUAGAGUAGUGGUGGUGUGGUACAUUUAGUAAUUAUUAUUAUAAAAAUUGCAUUCCGCCAUAGGAAUCUUAAUCUUUGCUUUUCAUUGCCUACACACACUCUAACUCUCUCUUUCUACUUUCUCAGAACGAUACAGAUACAGUUGGGAAAGAUUUGCAGAUGACGCCAAAAUUAAACAAUCUUUCUUUUUUAUUUAUUUUAAGGAAAAAAAAAAAUAGA